rnacentral:miRNA from 1 species
UUGGGUUGGCCAAAAAAAUUUGUUUGGGUUUUUCAUGAGAUAUAAUGGAAAAACCCAAACAAACUUUUUGGCCAACCGAA